AGAGUUUGAUCCUGGCUCAGGAUGAACGCUGGCGGCGUGCUUAACACAUGCAAGUCGAGCGAGAACUCGCUCAGCCGAUUCUUCGGAAGAAAGCAGAGCGACGGAAAGCGGCGGACGGGUGAGUAACGCGUGGGAAACCUGCCCUGUGCAGGGGGACAGCCGAGGGAAACUUCGAUUAAUACCCCAUAACACCAAAGCAUCGCAUGGUGCAAUGGUCAAAGAUUUAUCGGCACAGGAUGGUCCCGCGUCUGAUUAGCUGGUUGGUGAGGUAGCGGCUCACCAAGGCGACGAUCAGUAGCCGGCCUGAGAGGGUGAACGGCCACAUUGGAACUGAGACACGGUCCAGACUCCUACGGGAGGCAGCAGUGGGGGAAUAUUGCACACUGGGGGAAACCCUGAUGCAGCAACGCCGCGUGAAGGAAGAAGGCCUUCGGGUCGUAAACUUCUGUCCUUGGGGAAGAAACCUGACGGUACCCUUGGAGGAAGCCCCGGCUAACUACGUGCCAGCAGCCGCGGUAACACGUAGGGGGCAAGCGUUAUCCGGAAUUACUGGGCGUAAAGAGUACGUAGGUGGCCCUGUAAGCGUAGGGUUUAAGGCGACGGCCCAACUGUCGCAUGCCCCAUGAACUGCAGAGCUUGAGUGCUGGAGGGAACGGCGGAAUUCCUAGUGUAGCGGUGAAAUGCGUAGAUAUWRRGAGGAACACCGGUGGCGAAGGCGGCCUUCUGGACAGUAACUGACACUGAGGUACGAAAGCGUGGGGAGCAAACAGGAUUAGAUACCCUGGGUAGUSCACGCCGUAAACGAUGAGCACUAGGUGUCGGGCUCAUAAGAGUUCGGUGCCGGAGCAAACGCAUUAAGUGCUCCGCCUGGGGAGUACGCACGCAAGUGUGAAACUCAAAGGAAUUGACGGGAGCCCGCACAAGCAGUGGAGUAUGUGGUUUAAUUCGACGCAACGCGAAGAACCUUACCGGAGCUUGACAUCCCCCGGAUCUGGUUGUAAUGACCGGAGUGCCUUUCGGGGAACGGGGAGACAGGUGGUGCAUGGUUGUCGUCAGCUCGUGUCGUGAGAUGUUGGGUUAAGUCCCGCAACGAGCGCAGCCCUUAUGUUCAGUUGCUACGUUAAGAGCACUCUGGACAGACUGCCGUUGACAAAACGGAGGAAGGUGGGGACGACGUCAAAUCAUCAUGCCCCUUACGUUCCGGGCUACACACGUACUACAAUGGCGAGAACAAAGGGAAGCGAGACCGCGAGGUGGAGCGAACCCCAUAAAAAUCGUCCCAGUUCGGACUGCAGGCUGCAACCCGCCUGCACGAAGUUGGAAUUGCUAGUAAUCGCGGAUCAGCAUGCCGCGGUGAAUACGUUCCCGGGCUUUGUACACACCGCCCGUCAAACCAUGAAAGUUGGGAACACCCGAAGCCUGUGAGCCAACCGCAAGGGAGCAGCGGUCGAAGGUGGGUUCAAUGAUUGGGGUUAAGUCGUAACAAGGUAACCGUA
rnacentral:rRNA from 1 species